UACGUAGGGGGCAAGCGUUGUCCGGAUUUAUUGGGCGUAAAGAGCGUGUAGGCGGCCUGACAGGUCUGCUGUGAAAACUCGAGGCUCAACCUCGAGAUGUCGGCGGAAACCGUCUGGCUAGAGUCCGGAAGAGGAGAGUGGAAUUCCUGGUGUAGCGGUGAAAUGCGCAGAUAUCAGGAGGAACACCGGUGGCGAAGGCGGUUCUCUGGGCCUGUACUGACGCUGAGGAACGAAAGCGUGGGGAGCGAACAGG
rnacentral:rRNA from 1 species